UAUUGCACACUGGGGGAAACCCUGAUGCAGCGACGCCGCGUGAAGGAAGAAGUAUUUCGGUAUGUAAACUCCUAUCAGCAGGGAAGAAAAUGACGGUACCUGACUAAGAAUCCCCGGCUAACUACGUGCCAGCAGCCGCGGCAAUACGUAGGGGGCAAGCGUUAUCCGGAUUCACUGGGUGUAAAGGGAGCGUAGACGGCGAGACAAGUCUGGAGUGAAAGGCCGGGGCCCAACCCCGAGACUGCUCUGGAAACUGCCUGGCUGGAGUACAGGAGAGGUAAGUGGAAUUCCUAGUGUAGCGGUGAAAUGCGUAGAUAUUAGGAGGAACACCAGUGGCGAAGGCGGCUUACUGGACUGUAACUGACGUUGAGGCUCGAAAGCGUGGGGAGCAAACAGG
rnacentral:rRNA from 1 species